AAGCCUGAUGCAGCGACGCCGCGUGAGGGAUGACGGCCUUCGGGUUGUAAACCUCUUUCGACCCUGACGAAGCGAGAGUGACGGUAGGGGGAGAAGAAGCGCCGGCCAACUACGUGCCAGCAGCCGCGGUAAGACGUAGGGCGCGAGCGUUGUCCGGAUUUAUUGGGCGUAAAGAGCUCGUAGGCGGCUCGUUGCGUCAGCUGUGAAAACCUGCGGCUUAACUGUGGGCUCGCAGCUGAUACGGGCGGGCUAGAAUUCGGUAGGGGAGACUGGAAUUCCUGGUGUAGCGGUGAAAUGCGCAGAUAUCAGGAGGAACACCGGUGGCGAAGGCGGGUCUCUGGGCCGAUAUUGACGCUGAGGAGCGAAAGCGUGGGGAGCGAACAGGAUUAGAUACCCUGGUAGUCCACGCUGUAAACGUUGGGCGCUAGGUGUGGGGGGCCUCUCCGGUUCUCUGUGCCGCAGCUAACGCAUUAAGCGCCCCGCCUGGGGAGUACGGCCGCAAGGCUA
rnacentral:rRNA from 1 species